UACGUAGGGGGCAAGCGUUGUCCGGAUUUAUUGGGCGUAAAGAGCGUGUAGGCGGCCAGACAGGUCUGCUGUGAAAACUCGAGGCUCAACCUCGAGACGCCGGUGGAAACCGUUUGGCUAGAGUCCGGAAGAGGAGAGUGGAAUUCCUGGUGUAGCGGUGAAAUGCGCAGAUAUCAGGAGGAACAUCAGUGGCGAAGGCGACACCCUGGACUCAUACUGACACUGAGGUGCGAAAGCGUGGGGAGCAAACAGG
rnacentral:rRNA from 1 species